rnacentral:rRNA from 1 species
AAAACACAGCUCUCUGCAAGUCGUAAGAGACGUAUAGGGAGUGACACCUGCCCGGUGCCGGAAGGUUAAGGAAGGAGGUUAGCCGUAAGGCGAAGCUUUCGGACCGAAGCCCCGGGUAAACGGCGGCCGUAACUAUAACGGUCCUAAGGUAGCGAAAUUCCUUGUCGGGUAAGUUCCGACCUGCACGAAUGGUGUAACGAUCUGGGCGCUGUCUCAGCCGUGAGCUCGGUGAAAUUGUAGUCUCGGUGAAGAUGCCGAGUACCCGCCACGGGACGGAAAGACCCCGUGCACCUUUACUAUAGGUUGUCAUUGGUGUUGAGUUUAGCAUGUGUAGCAUAGGUGGGAGGCGCUGAGCCGGGGUCGCUAGAUCUCGGGGAGCCGACGUUGAAAUACCACCCUUGCUAAGCUUGAUGCCUAAUCUGUCGAGAAGAUGGAAACAGUGACUGCUGGGUAGUUUGACUGGGGUGG